CUGUUUUGAUAUUUUCUUUGUUGAUAAUUUGAUAGGGGGUGAAUUGUUCACCUGCCUCUGUUAGUCUAGUGUCUUCUGUAUUGUUCUCUGUGGAUUGUACUGUAAACAGUAGAUUGUACUGUAAAUAUUGUAAACAAACAUUUUUGAUAAUAUAAAAAAAAAAAAAAAAAAAAUCACGUUCGCUUAACACGCGAAAGGUCCUCGGUUCGAAACCGGGCGGAAACAGAGCUCUUUGACACGUGCAGUAGGUACUGUACUUUCAACAAAGAAUUGUUAUUUUCAUAAAUUCUGUAUUUUGGAAAUUCGAAUACGUGCCCUGAAUAUCUGUAAAAUUCGGUUUACUUCUUGCAGGAAAAUCAAGCAGCAGUUUCUGUAGUGUAGUGGUUAUCACGUUCGCUUUACACGUGAAAGGUCCUCAGUUUGAAACCGGGAGGAAACAGUGCUCUUUGACAUGUGCAGUAGGUACUGUACUUUCAACAAAGAAUUGUUAUUUUCAUGAAUUCUGUAUUUUAGGAAAUUCGAAUACGUGCCAUGAAUAUCUGUAAAAUUCCGUUUACUCCUUGCAGCUAAAUGUAGCAGCAGUUUCUGUAGUGUAGUGGUUAUCACGUUCGCUUUACACGUGAAAGGUCCUCAGUUUGAAACCGGGAGGAAACAGUGCUCUUUGACAUGUGCAGUAGGUACUGUACUAUUAACAGAGAAUAGUUAUUUUCAUAAAUGCCUAAUUUUGGAAAUUUGAACACGUGCCAUGAAUAUCUGUAAAAUUCGGUUUACUCCUUGCAGAUAAUUGUUGAAGCAGUUUCUGUAGUGUAGUGGUUAUCACGUUCGCUUAACACGCGAAAGGUCC
rnacentral:tRNA from 1 species